GUGGUUGUGGCUCAGUGGUAGAGCACUUGUCUAGCACAUUCGAGGCACUGAGUUCAAUUCUCAGCACCAUA
rnacentral:tRNA from 1 species